rnacentral:rRNA from 1 species
AACUUCGGCCUCUGCCACCCGGUCCGCCUAUUUGGGUGUGUACUGGAGUGGUGGAGGCUUACCUCGUGGUGAACGGCCAUGCCCUUAACUGGGUGUGGUCGGGAACCAUGACUUUUACUGUGAAAAAAUUAGAGUGUUCAAAGCAGGCUUACGCCCGAAUACAUUAGCAUGGAAUAAUAAAAUAGGACGUGCGGUCCUAUUUUGUUGGUUUCUAGGAUCGCCGUAAUGAUUAAUAGGGAUAGUUGGGGGCAUUCGUAUUCAAUUGUCAGAGGUGAAAUUCUUGGAUUUAUUGAAGACGAACUACUGCGAAAGCAUUUGCCAAGGAUGUUUUCAUUGAUCAAGAACGAAGGUUAGGGGAUCUAAAACGAUCAGAUACCGUAGUAGUCUUAACAGUAAACGAUGCCGACUAGGGAUCGGAUGA